CGAGGGAGCGGAGCCUAGCAACAGCGCAGCGCAGCGUCGUGCUUUCAAAAUUGGGCUCCAUUUACUCCAAAAGCCUGCAGCAAGCAGACAAACAGAGAGAGAGAGACACAGAGAGAGAGAGAGAGAGAGAUGGGUUCCAUGCCGCUCAUCCGUUCCAUGGCCUGCAUCCUCAUCCUCCUGUGCUCGUCGCUCGGGGCAGCGAAUGGGAUGCAUCGUAGAGCCGCCGGCGACGAGGGGGAGGCAGCGGGCAGCAGGGUCGCCGACGGCGCCCGCGGCGGCGCCAGGAGCGCGUGGCCCGGGUACCUCUACACCAGAGCGGUCGGGCGAUGCACUCCCCAGUAAGCACUCGCUCCCCACUCCCCAGUUCUUGGAUUUGGCUUCCCCUUGCAGAACUAGUAGUACAUCUUUGUUUUCUUGAUUCUUCUACUAGCACAACAUUGGGUGGUCAGUGGUCACCACUCAGUCACUCUACUGUGCUAAUUUGGUAGUACUACUUAUUCAAGUUAGGUAUGGAGUCUUAGGUAGUACUGUGCAGAAACUACGGAGAUUGCAACGCGACUGUGACGAACGGUAGCAUCUCCCUCUCUCUGAGGGGAGAGGAGUUCCAGUAAUGUAUGUAAUUUUGAGGUUUACAUUGUGACUGAAAAAAAGUGGCCACUUUUAGCGUCUGCGUAGAUCUAAAAACGUUGGUUUCAUCCUAAAAGGUCCAGCGGAAUCUGCACUAGGUUGCAAGAAUGGUGUGGUCUCUCUCUUGCGAGCCCACACAACCUUUAAUCUGCUUUUAUGGAAUGAAAUCCUUUGGCGUACGUGCAAGGCUAAAGCGUUCAAUUUACGGUCCAUGUAAUGUUCCUGACAAGUUUUACAGUAUCUUCUAGCUAAUAUCCAGGGUACAUUUUGAGUCACUAGUUGUACCCGUAUAGCCUGGGUAGCAGGGAAAAGUUGUCAACAAGCGAGUAUUGUGGUACUCCACGAUCCACAAGGCAGUUUAUUUGAAUAUACAUGGCAGUAUUAUCUGAAUAUUGACCUUGCUUCUGCUGAAUAUGCACACAGUAGUAGUGAAUCAGCAAACUAUCUUAACUACUGUGGUUCGAGUCCUGUGAACAUCAAGAGUUCAAGACAAGUCACGUCCGUUUCAUUCAUUGCGUUCAUGCAAUUCCGUUUCGUCCUCGCCACGCUCUGCUUUGUUCAAGCUGUGCUCUUGUGGGUCAAUGUGGCCUUUGUGCACUGUGGGGCAAGUGUGCAUCCUAUCGUGGCUUAUGAGCAAACUUAAGCUACUUUCUUUGGUAGGGAAGGAAAUAUGAUGCUCAAAAAUCACCACAUAGCAUGUGGAAUGCCCUCGUCUGAAUAGAAUUUCGAGUUCAGGGUUAACCGGCUCUUUUUACAAGUACUCCUAGUUUCUGAGUAGAGUAACAACACUGCAAUGAGCCGUUGCCUUCCUUAAUGUGGAACUCUGCAUGCAGGUUCUGGAGCAGCGGGGCGGAGCAAUGGCCGAACAUCGUCCCCCAGGAAGCGGCGGUGUCCAAGGUGUUCGGGUCCAGGUCCAUGGACAAGUACGGGCCGCGGCUGACCCUGCUGGAGGCCACGAUGAGGACCGACGACGUGGGCAGCCCCUUCGUGAAGCUGGUGAAGCACGGCAGCGCGGCGCUCAUCAACGCCUACACGAGGACGGGCUUCCCCUUCGACUCCUGGGAGGUGAAGGCGCUGCUGCUGGAGGCGCUCGUCUCCGAGGACGCCGCCGCCGCCCAGGCCGAGCGUUUCCAGCAGGCCAACGAGUCAUGUGUCUGAAAUUCUGAAUCCUAUCCUAUCCUAUCCUGGAAGGUGAUGAAUGCAGAAUGGUAGCGCAGUGGCAUCGCGUUCGUGGUAGGUCACCGCUUCUGUGACUUGGGUGGGAGAUCUCAAGCAGUGUUCUUAGACGAUGGAUGUUUGAAAUGGUGAAGUGUGGUUACUUGCACUCUGUGCGUUGUGCGUGGCUUGUAGUAUCUGUGUGAGGUGUAGUGUUUUUAUGUCGCCGUCGCCGUGUCAUGUUUCUAUGCUUACUUGUGAAUUUCUACGGGGAUUCUGUUUCGUUUGUGACCGCCUCAGCGUGCAGUGGAACUGAUCGUUCGUUCAUGAGCGACACAACACUGUUCUCUUUUAAAAAAUCAUAGAGGACAAACAUGUCAUUAUGCAAUGUAAAACCUGGACUACAGUUUAUAUAAUCUCUCAUCCAAAC
rnacentral:lncRNA from 1 species